rnacentral:rRNA from 1 species
AUACGGAGGGGGCUAGCGUUGUUCGGAAUUACUGGGCGUAAAGCGCGCGUAGGCGGUUUGCCAAGUCAGGCGUGAAAGCCCCGGGCUCAACCCGGGAAUUGCGCUUGAUACUGGCAGGCUAGAGGCCGGGAGAGGGUAGUGGAAUUCCCAGUGUAGAGGUGAAAUUCGUAGAUAUUGGGAAGAACACCGGUGGCGAAGGCGGCUACCUGGACCGGUACUGACGCUGAGGUGCGAAAGCGUGGGGAGCAAACAGGAUUAGAUACCCCGGUAGUCC